rnacentral:misc_RNA from 1 species
GAUGAAGAACGUAGUGAAAUGCGAUAAGUAGUGUGAAUUGCAGAAUUCAGUGAAUCAUCGAAUCUUUGAACGCACAUUGCGCCUUCUAGUAUUCUGGGAGGCAUGCCUGUUUGAGCGUCAUUAAACCUCUCUCAAGUAUGAUUACUUGGAUGUGAAGGAAGAGUACCUUAAACUUAAGGAGUGUUCUCCUUUGAAAUAGAUUAGCAGAUGGUAAUGUUAUUAAAUCCCUGAUGUUGUAAGAAAUAACAGUGGUUUUGUAGACUAUUAUCUAGCUUUAAAUUAUAAUUUUUAUUAUGGUUGACCUCAAAUCAGGUAAGGAUACCCGCUGAACUUAAGCAUAUCAAUAAGCGGAGGA